GCCGUCGUGGCGCAACCGGUUAGCUCGUUUGGCUGUUAACCAAAAAGUUGGUGGUUCCAGCCGACCCAGGGGUG
rnacentral:tRNA from 1 species